UCUCCGUAGGUGAACCUGCGGAGGGAUCAUUACAGAGUUCAUGCCCUACCGGGUAGAUCUCCCACCCUAUGUUAUUAUUACUUUGUUGCUUUGGCGGGCCGUUAGGCUCCGGCCCGACUACCGGCCCCGGCUGGUAAGCGCCCGCCAGAGGACCCAGACCCUGAAUAUUAGUGUCGUCUGAGUACUAUAUAAUAGUUAAAACUUUCAACAACGGAUCUCUUGGUUCUG
rnacentral:misc_RNA from 1 species